ensembl:lncRNA novel transcript
UUCCAGCUGAUGGCUCCACAUCUUGGGGGAAGGCUCUGAUUUCAUGACGGGCUGGGGGCUUCUCAGGAUUCCACAGCCCAAAUGGCGGGACAGUUCAGGGGCUCCAAGACCAUCAGGAGCAUGUGGUACCCACAUCACAACCCAAGACCAUGGGGCAUCUGGUGAGUUUAUGGUCCCCUCGGCUCUUCCCCAGAGGCCCUGCAUCCUGGGGGGCUGGAGGAACAGCGGGGGCUGCAGCCCCUCAUGGGGCUGGUGACAGGCUGAGUCCCAGCCAGGGCCUGACCUGGGAUGUCGGGUUCCCCAUGGGCUGGGAGUUGGGUUUCCUUUCCAGCCCUGGAGGAGACAGAGGCACAGGGAUGGGGGCCCUGCUCCCACAGAGAAGGGCUAAGGGCAGUGUGUCCACCGGGAGUGCCGGAAGGGGAAGAUGUUGCGGGGAGCCUGGGACACUGCCCAGUGUUCUGCACUCGGGGAAGGGUCUUCAGAGGGCCCUGGAAGAGGGAGGUUUUUAGGGCAGCCCAUGGGGCCCUGAGCACCUCUGUUCCUCCCAUCAGGACAAGGAAGGUCUAUGCACACAGGGUUCCUCAUUCAGCUGGCUUCUCCGGGUGCUGAAUGAUGGGGUAAGGAGGCACAGGGAGACCCUGGCUCAGGGACCCUCCUUGCCCUGCAGUGCCCUGCUUCCCCAGCCAGGGGGUCCAGCUCACCCCAGUCCACAGGAGGCUCAGGCAGAUCCCCAAAGGACACACAAGCAAGACCCUCUGCCCAAGAGGGCUCAUCCCAGUGCAGAGGACAGGGCUCAGGACCAGCCUCAUGGACAGACUGGGCCAGGACCCAACUAGGGAGGGCUCAGGGGAGCCUCAAGCCCUGGGCAAGCCCCUCUCUGCACUGAAAUGAGUGCCCCCCCAUAAGGAGCUGCAAGACCUUGUCUGACCCAGCCUCCUGGAGGGGUCGGGUGACCCUCAUGGGGAAGGUCAGUGAAGCCCCAAUGGGCUAGCUCGAGCCACCAGCCCCAGCCUGGAAGGGCCAGGUCCUCCCAUGCCUACUUUCCCCACAGAUCUCUCUCGGGCUCACCCCGUGCCUGUGGGAUAUGUAUUUGCUGGAAGGGGAACAGAUGUUGAUGCUGAUAACAAGCAUUGCCUUUAAGGUUCAAAGGAGGCCCUCAAGGGCACUGGAAGAGCCAGACCCAUUUGUGAGAGCCUCCACUCCUCCCUGCAAGCGCUGACAGCCUCAGAGAGCAGCAGAGGCCCCUCACUCCUGCAGACUCCUCCAAGGGUGCCAGGACAACAAGCCUUGAGCCGGGGAGACAAGGGAAUCAGUGUCUCAUUAUCUCUACCAUCUCUACCAUCUCGGAGAGGGAGAUGUGGCAGGAUAAUAGGGUAAUAGUGGGGUGAGGGUCAGCAGGAAAACAUGAACAAAUGUCUCUGUGUCAU